CUAUCUACUUGACAAAUGAUUAUAAUUGUGACAACCCAACACGAAAUUCACACGCUUUAUAACUCUUUUUCAGUUCAACUACAAACAAGUCUUAUUCCUCCCAAUUUUGCUGGUCUGAUACAGCUAUUCUCAUUCCAACCAAUCUCCUCUGCUUCCCUUCUUUUACAAUUACUCUUGCAUUAUUCUUUUAGCUUAAGAUCUCCCAAGAAUUAGAAGAAGAAACAGGAGGUCAAAGAAGAAGAUGGGUCAUCAUCAUCAUCAUCAUCAUCAUAAUAAUCAUAAUGAAGGAAAUAGACCAUAUGAUGAUCCAUUCUUGGCAUGUUGUUGUUGCCCUUGUUUUGUAGUUUCUUCUACUUUCUCUGUGUUAAAGAGGUGCCUCUUUGUAGUAUGUUUCCCUGUUUUGCAGUGCUUUGGAUUGGAUGAACACAGACAUCAACAUCAUCACCACAGACAUUUCUGACAACCCCAAUUUAAAGGAAAACACUGAUUUUUGAGUCUAGAAUUCAUAGCAAGAUUAUGUUCUGAUUUGCUCUGUUGAAAUAUAAACAGGUUUUCAUUAAUGUUGUUUCAAGUUUCAACUUUAUUUCACCUUGUAUUCUGCUAGUCUACUUUCACUUAUUACCUUGUUUGUUUUACCUUGAUACAAAAAGGGAUUUGCUGCCACAAAUUAUUAAUCACAACGUUCCAAAAUUUAUUCUGUUUUA